UUACCGAGUUUUCAACUCCCAAACCCCUGUGAACAUACCAUACUGUUGCCUCGGCGGUGCCUGUUCCGACAGCCCGCCAGAGGACCCCAAACCCAAAUUUCUUUGAGACGUAUUCUGAGUAACCGAUUAAAUAAAUCAAAACUUUCAACAACGGAUCUCUUGGUUCUGGCAUCGAUGAAGAACGCAGCGAAAUGCGAUAAGUAAUGUGAAUUGCAGAAUUCAGUGAAUCAUCGAAUCUUUGAACGCACAUUGCGCCCGCUAGUAUUCUGGCGGGCAUGCCUGUUCGAGCGUCAUUUCAACCCUCAAGCCCCCGGGCUUGGUGUUGGGGAUCGGCGAGCCUCUGCGCCCGCCGUCCCCUAAAUUUAGUGGCGGUCACGUUGUAACUUCCUCUGCGUAGUAGCACACUUAGCACUGGGAAUCAGCGAGGCCACGCCGUAAAACACCCAACUUUAGAAUGUUUGACCUCGAAUCAGGUAGGACUACCCGCUGAACUUAAGCAUAUCAAUAGCCGGAGGAA
rnacentral:rRNA from 1 species